GACGAACGCUGGCGGCGUGCUUAACACAUGCAAGUCGAACGGUGAAGCGCCUUCCUUUUUGGUGGGUGUGGAUGAGUGGCGAACGGGUGAGUAACACGUGAGUAACCUGCCCCCUUCUUCUGGAUAACCGCAUGAAAGUGUGGCUAAUACGGGAUAUUCUGGGUCUGUCGCAUGAUGGGUCUGGGAAAGAUAUUGUUUCGGUGGGGGAUGGGGUCGCGGCCUAUCAGCUUGUUGGUGGGGUGAUGGCCUACCAAGGCGGUGACGGGUAGCCGGCCUGAGAGGGUGGACGGUCACACUGGGACUGAGACACGGCCCAGACUCCUACGGGAGGCAGAAGUGGGGAAUAUUGCACAAUGGGCGCAAGCCUGAUGCAGCGACGCCGCGUGAGGGAUGGAGGCCUUCGGGUUGUGAACCUCUUUCGCCAGUGAAGCAGGCCUGCCUCGUUUGUGGGUGGGUUGACGGUAGCUGGAGAAGAAGCGCCGGCUAACUACGUG
rnacentral:rRNA from 1 species